ACUCAAAGGAAUAGACGGGGACCCGCACAAGCAGCGGAGCAUGUGGUUUAAUUCGACGCAACGCGAAGAACCUUACCUGGGCUUGACAUGUGCCUGACCGCCCUGGAAACAGGGCUUCCCUUCGGGGCAGGUUCACAGGUGGUGCAUGGCUGUCGUCAGCUCGUGUCGUGAGAUGUUGGGUUAAGUCCCGCAACGAGCGCAACCCCCGUCGUAUGUUGCCAGCAUUUAGUUGGGGACUCAUGCGAGACUGCCGGUGACAAACCGGAGGAAGGUGGGGAUGACGUCAAGUCAUCAUGCCCCUUAUGUCCAGGGCUACACACGUGCUACAUUGGCGCGUACAGAGGGCUGCGAUACCGCGAGGUGGAGCGAAUCCCUCAAAGCGCGUCUCGGUUCGGAUUGCAGGCUGAAACUCGCCUGCAUGAAGGUGGAGUUGCUAGUAAUCGCGGAUCAGCAUCGCCGCGGUGAAUACGUUCCCGGGUCUUGUACACACCGCCCGU
rnacentral:rRNA from 1 species